GAGCAGCGGGGUUAAAGAAAGGAGAGGAGGCGUGGGCUGCGCUGUGCUGUCGCUGGAGGCGCUCCCGGCGGCGCCUGCCUUGGUGCUUGCUAGUUGGUCGCCUCCAGUGAAAGGUCAUGGCAGGACCCAAGCGAACCUGGACAACUACCCUUAUCCCAGCCUCGGGACUGGAACAGCUGUGAGAGGAGACGAGACUCCCUGCAGAGGGCGGAGAUGACGUUAGCCUGACCAGACUCACGUACGCCCAAGUUCAAGGACCCGUCGUAACCUAAAAAUAUACUGGGUGAUCGUAGCUUCGAGCUUCCCCAACACUGAAGUUCCCUUUUUAAAAGCCUGAAGACUAAGUCGGAUGUCAGAACUACUGCAAAGCCCAGGGGCUGCUCUCCCUCUACUUUCACCUUUAUAUCUAAACCAAUGAGGCUGUCAGCUACGUAAUGCCCUCUCAUCGCUUCUCUUUAAGAUUGCCCUUCAGCUAGAGGCUAGGCAUUCAGGACAAGUUUCUCUAUGUAGACUUGGCUCUCCUUAUAGACCAGGUUAGCCUCACAGAGAUCCACCUGCUUCUUCCUCUCAGGUGCAGGGAUUAAAGAGCUACUUCUUUGGGAUUCUGGUGUAAACUGAAGACGAGCUGAGACAUCCAGUCUCAUGGACUGAACUACUGGAUUCUUGAAACUUCUGUUGGUAGACAGCCAUUGUUGGACUAGCUAGACCACAGCCUACAUGUGGAUCAAUGGAAUUGAACCAAAGACUCAGCUGUAAACCCACACACCUAUGGGCACCUGAAGCCAACAUUAUACAAUGGAAAAAAGAAAGCGUCUUCAACAAAUAGUGCUGGUUUCACUGGAUAUUGGCAUGUAGAAGAAUGCAAAUAGAUACAUAUUUAUCACCUGGCACAAAACUCAAGUCUAAUUGGAUCAAAGAUCUCAACAUAAG
rnacentral:lncRNA from 1 species